UGUCAGUGGCGGACGGGUGAGUACCGCGUAGGAAUGUGUCCAGAGGUGGGGGACAACCUUGGGAAACUGAGGCUAAUACCGCAUAUGAGCUGAGGCUCAAAGCAGCGAUGCGCCUUUGGAGUAGCCUGCGUCCGAUUAGCUAGUUGGUGGGGUAAAGGCCUACCAAGGCGACGAUCGGUAGCUGGUCUGAGAGGACGACCAGCCACACUGGGACUGAGACACGGCCCAGACUCCUACGGGAGGCAGCAGUGGGGAAUAUUGGACAAUGGGCGCAAGCCUGAUCCAGCAAUGCCGCGUGUGUGAAGAAGGUCUUCGGAUCGUAAAGCACUUUCGACGGGGACGAUGAUGACGGUACCCGUAGAAGAAGCCCCGGCUAACUUCGUGCCAGCAGCCGCGGUAAUACGGAGG
rnacentral:rRNA from 1 species